UUGAUUACCCUAAUUACCCUAAUUAACCUGGGGUGGGGCAAGAAUCAGCAGGGGCCGAUCGCGGCUGAGAAUUGGCUGAGCAUCGUUUUCGGGCGGGGAAAUUCAACCCCGGGGAACAGUGGGGUGACGGCGUUUGGGGUUGUCCCCCCCAACCAGGGUUGUCCCCACGGAGGUGACGGCCAUGGAGGACGCUGCUGCACCUCUCGUCCCGCUCCCCACGGCCUGCGCUGGGGACACCGGGAAGAGGAACGGGGACAGCGUGGUCCCAGCGGAUGUGGGGUCAAUCAAGGAGGAGGAGAAACACCAGGAGGAUGCUCCUGAGCAAGUGGAACCCCCAACCUCCAGCCAGCCCCAAAUGACCCAUCCCGGGGGAUCCCCACUCCCAGGGGACAACAGGAGGGAAGAGGCACCCAACACCUGCC